GGUAUGGAUAAUUUUGAAUCAUUGUUAGCUGGUGCUCACAUGAUGGUAGGUUUUCUAUCAGGUAUCUUAUCUGUUUCUUGAGAUACAAUUAUCUGGUAAAUGCAAGUAAAAAUCGCACCAAAAUAAAAUAUUACUAUAAAAUUGGUUAAUACAAACAAUUGGCUCCGGAAAAAUGGCAUGCAUAAUCCACAUGGGAAUUUCGUGUUCUCUCAAACUACCGCAAGUGUGCAAAACGUAUAUAACUAUAUGGAAGCACAGAAAAAAUGUUUUCUAUUUGUUAUGUAAUAUUAGCCUACAUGGCAGCCCCUCGUCGAAGCGGAAACGCAAAUGGAGAAUGACGGCCUGCAUUGAAACCAAUAGACACACAAAUAAAAGCUUAUUAAAAUUGACUAAAUAUGCGUAAAUAUGUCAAUCAAGACGAAGAAAUGCAAUAAUGUGUUCGUUUGGGGUUUAAACAAAUCCGUUAUUUUUUUGCAUAGACCAAUCGCAUUUUAUGUGUAAAAAUUGAAUUGUGUUUUAGCACUGAUUAAAAUUAUUUAUCACUGAUUAAUUUCGUGAUUAAAAUCACGAAAACCGGAUUUUCUUGCAGGUCCUCAUUCGCUGUUCGUCUUCUCUGUUGAAACGAGGGCCUGCCACGCAAGCUAUAAUAUGCUGCAGUAGUCUAGACAAAUAUGGGUACAUGACGCUUUUUCAGUCUAUAAAUGUUUCUGGUAAAUCAGCUAUUUCAAUAUUAUUAUCCUUAGACUAUUGUAAUAUAAAUUUAAACUGAGUCUCAAUCUUUUCCAUUUUAGGAUCGCCAUUUUCUUUCCGCCCCUGCAGAAGAGAAUGUAUGUUUCAUGAGUUAUUACUACCACUAGUAUACAAUCGUCAUAUCUAUAAUUUGGCGAGUGUUAUAAUAUAUAAUUACAUAGAAAUAUUAUACCUCAAAUUCAAAGUGUCCUAUCAGAAAGCUACGUUUGUGCCAUGCGAGCAUGAAAUGUAUCAUCGAAUCACGCCUUACGGCAUCGUAUUUGACGUAGCGGGUGAUUUUAAUCAUAUCACACGAGGUGAAUUGAUCAUAUCACCCGGGUGGUAUGAUUCGCGGAGAUCGCGCAAACUAGAUGGCCGACAAAAUGUACUGAUGAGUCAUUUUCCCCGAGCCGACGGCGCGAAGCGCCGUGCGAGGGUACUAAUUCCGCACGGCU